rnacentral:lncRNA from 1 species
CGUGCGCGGAACGUGUCGAUGGGCCAGCUCGGUGGGUGGGCCGGUGGGGGUAGGGAAACAUAACCGGACGCACGGAAAGGGCCAGUUGGCCGCACGCAAGCCAAUAUGGGCCGUUGUAUGCUGGGGGUCGUACGUACAUGAGAGCAAAUCGUAAUUUGCUGCGCCUGCGGUACGUUGGGUGCCUUUGGGUACUGUAAUCGUGCAAUCCACGGGUACAGCCCCUGCAACUUGGUUCUCAGAAAAAAAAAAUCUAAAACAAAAGGUUCUCAGAAAAAAAAAGUUCCACACAGGCGAUCGAUCUCCUCGGAAACUGCUGGAUCGUGCCACAAACAGCAC